CCUACGGGUGGCAGCAGUCGAGAAUCAUUCACAAUGGGGGAAACCCUGAUGGUGCGACGCCGCGUGGGGGAAUGAAGGUCUUCGGAUUGUAAACCCCUGUCAUGUGGGAGCAAAUUAAAAAGAUAGUACCACAAGAGGAAGAGACGGCUAACGCUGUGCCAGCAGCCGCGGUAAUACAGAGGUCUCAAGCGUUGUUCGGAAUCACUGGGCGUAAGGCGUGCGUAGGCUGUUUCGUAAGUCGUGUGUGAAAGGCGCGGGCUCAACCCGCGGACGGCACAUGAUACUGCGAGACUAGAGUAAUGGAGGGGGAACCGGAAUUCUCGGUGUAGCAGUGAAAUGCGUAGAUAUCGAGAGGAACACUCGUGGCGAAGGCGGGUUCCUGGACAUUAACUGACGCUGAGGCACGAAGGCCAGGGGAGCGAAAGGGAUUAGAUACCCGAGUAGUC
rnacentral:rRNA from 1 species